rnacentral:tRNA from 1 species
GGAGGGUUCGCAUAGUGGACUAGUGCAGCCGCCUUGAAAGCGGCCAGGCCAGCGAUGGUCUCGUGGGUUCGAAUCCCACACCCUCCGCCG